rnacentral:rRNA from 1 species
UAUAAAGGAAUAAAGUCGGGUAUGUAUACCCGUUUGCAUGUACUUUAUGAAUAAGGAUCGGCUAACUCCGUGCCAGCAGCCGCGGUAAUACGGAGGAUCCGAGCGUUAUCCGGAUUUAUUGGGUUUAAAGGGAGCGUAGAUGGAUGUUUAAGUCAGUUGUGAAAGUUUGCGGCUCAACCGUAAAAUUGCAGUUGAUACUGGAUAUCUUGAGUGCAGUUGAGGCAGGCGGAAUUCGUGGUGUAGCGGUGAAAUGCUUAGAUAUCACGAAGAACUCCGAUUGCGAAGGCAGCCUGCUAAGCUGCAACUGACAUUGAGGCUCGAAAGUGUGGGUAUCAAACAGGAUUAGAUACCCUGGUAGUCCACACGGUAAACGAUGAAUACUCGCUGUUUGCGAUAUACUGCAAGCGGCCAAGCGAAAGCGUUAAGUAUUCCACCUGGGGAGUACGCCGGCAACGGUGAAACUCAAAGGAAUUGACGGGGGCCCGCACAAGCGGAGGAACAUGUGGUUUAAUUCGAUGAUACGCGAGGAACCUUACCCGGGCUUAAAUUGCAGAUGAAUUACGGUGAAAGCCGUAAGCCGCAAGGCAUCUGUGAAGGUGCUGCAUGGUUGUCGUCAGCUCGUGCCGUGAGGUGUCGGCUUAAGUGCCAUAACGAGCGCAACCCUUGUUGUCAGUUACUAACAGGUUCCGCUGAGGACUCUGACAAGACUGCCAUCGUAAGAUGUGAGGAAGGUGGGGAUGACGUCAAAUCAGCACGGCCCUUACGUCCGGGGCUACACACGUGUUACAAUGGGGGGUACAGAGGGCCGCUACCACGCGAGUGGAUGCCAAUCCCCAAAACCUCUCUCAGUUCGGACUGGAGUCUGCAACCCGACUCCACGAAGCUGGAUUCGCUAGUAAUCGCGCAUCAGCCACGGCGCGGUGAAUACGUUCCCGGGCCUUGUACACACCGCCCGUCAAGCCAUGGGAGCCGGGGGUACCUGAAGUGCGUAACCGCGAGGAGCGCCCUAGGGUAAAACUGGUGACUGGGGCUAAGUCGUAACAAGGUAGCCGUACCGGAAGGUGCGGCUGGAACACCUCCUUU